GACGAACGCUGGCGGCGUGCUUAACACAUGCAAGUCGAACGGAAAGGCCCCCACCUUGGUGGGGGUGCUCGAGUGGCGAACGGGUGAGUAACACGUGGGUGAUCUGCCCUGUACUUCGGGAUAAGCUUGGGAAACUGGGUCUAAUACCGGAUAGGACCAUGGUUUAGUGUCUCAUGGUGGAAAAAUUAUUGUUUUGGUGCAGGAUGAGCUCGCGGCCUAUCAGCUUGUUGGUGGGGUAAUGGCCUACCAAGGCGUCGACGGGUAGCCGGCCUGAGAGGGUGGACGGCCACAUUGGGACUGAGAUACGGCCCAGACUCCUACGGGAGGCAGCAGUGGGGAAUAUUGCACAAUGGGCGCAAGCCUGAUGCAGCGACGCCGCGUGGGGGAUGACGGCCUUCGGGUUGUAAACUCCUUUCGUUAGGGACGAAGCCAUACUUUUU
rnacentral:rRNA from 1 species